rnacentral:rRNA from 1 species
AACGAACGCUGGCGGCAGGCCUAACACAUGCAAGUCGAGCGCGCCCUUCGGGGUGAGCGGCGGACGGGUGAGUAACGCGUGGGAACGUGCCCUUCUCUGCGGAAUAGCCUCGGGAAACUGAGAGUAAUACCGCAUACGCCCUUUGGGGGAAAGAUUUAUCGGAGAAGGAUCGGCCCUCGUUGGAUUAGGUAGUUGGUGGGGUAAUGGCCCACCACGCCGACGAUCCAUAGCUGGUUUGAGAGGAUGAUCAGCCACACUGGGACUGAGACACGGCCCAGCCUCCUACGGGAGGCAGCAGUGGGGAAUCUUAGACAAUGGGGGCAACCCUGAUCUAGCCAUGCCGCGUGAGUGAUGAAGGCCUGAGGGUUGUAAAGCUCUUUCAGCUGGGAAGAUAAUGACGGUACCAGCAGAAGAAGCCCCGGCUAACUCCGUG